rnacentral:rRNA from 1 species
AACGAACGCUGGCGGCAUGCCUAACACAUGCAAGUCGAACGAAGGCUUCGGCCUUAGUGGCGCACGGGUGAGUAACGCGUGGGAAACUGCCUAUUGGUGGGGAAUAACGACGGGAAACUGUCGCUAAUACCGCAUAAGCCCUUCGGGGGAAAGAUUUAUCGCCGAUAGAUGUGCCCGCGUCCGAUUAGCUAGUUGGUGAGGUAAUGGCUCACCAAGGCGACGAUCGGUAGCUGGUCUGAGAGGAUGAUCAGCCACACUAGGACUGAGACACGGCCCAGACUCCUACGGGAGGCAGCAGUGGGGAAUAUUGGACAAUGGGCGAAAGCCUGAUCCAGCAAUGCCGCGUGAGUGGUGAAGGCCUUAGGGUUGUAAAGCUCUUUCGGGUGGGACGAUGAUGACGGUACCACCAGAAGAAGCCCCGGCUAACUUCGUGCCAGCCGCCGCAGUAA